rnacentral:rRNA from 1 species
AUGGCGGCGCUGUCCCUUCCACCUUCCAAGACGCCGUUUCUCGGGCGCCUCCUGUGGCUGUUGGCAAAGUCCGACGUCCUGGCGUCCGCCGAGGCCGGAGUCUACGGCCUCACCCCACUGUCGUAUCUCCUUGUAGAUGGCAUACUCGUCGACGGUGAGGCUAGGCAGAUGGCCUUUCCCCUGGCGGCCACCUCGCGGUAUCACAUGGAGGCCACUUUAGGCCUGGCUGAUUGGUUCAAGAAGGACGUUGCACAACCACCAUUUGACCAUGUGCAUGGGGCGACACAGUUCGAGGAGAGCAUGGCCCUCCUCGAUCCUGAGACCGACAAGCUGUUCCAUGAAGCUUUGGCUGCCAAUGACUGGAUCGGCACGGUGUUGCGGGAGUGCCGUGACCUAUUCAAUGGUCUGCAGUCACUCACCGACUGUUGUGGUGGUGAUGGAACAACAGCCAGGGCCAUCGUCAAGGCCUUCCGCAUAUCAAGUGCAAUGUUUUGGACCUUCCACGGGUGA